rnacentral:rRNA from 1 species
CCUACGGGAGGCUGCAGUGGGGAAUAUUGCGCAAUGGGCGAAAGCCUGACGCGGCGACGCCGCGUGGGUGAUGAAGGCCUUCGGGUUGUAAAGCCCUGUCGGGUGGAACGAACGAUCUGGCGGCGAAUAACCGCCGGGUGUGACGGUACCACCGAAGGAAGCCCCGGCUAACUACGUGCCAGCAGCCGCGGUAAGACGGAGGGGGUGAGUGUGGGUCGGAUGUACUGGGCGGAAAGGGUGCGUAGGCGGCGAAAUCCUUCGGCUUAACCGAGGUCCCGCAUCCGAUACUGUCUGGCUCGAGUCUAGGAGAGGAAAGCGGAAUUCCCAGUGUAGCGGUGAAAUGCGUAGAUAUUGGGAGGAACACCGGUGGCGAAGGCGGCUUUCCGGACUAGUACUGACGCUGAGGCGCGAAAGCUAGGGGAGCGAACGGGAUUAGAUACCCCUGUAGUC